rnacentral:rRNA from 1 species
CAGUAGCCGCGGGAAUACGUAGGGGGCAAGCGUUGUCCGGAAUCAUUGGGCGUAAAGAGCGUGUAGGCGGCUCGGUAAGUCCGCUGUGAAAGCCCCCGGCUCAACCGGGGAGGGUCAUUGGAAACUGGGAAACUUGAGUGCAGAGGAGGAGAGUGGAAUUCCACGUGUAGCGGUGAAAUGCGUAGAGAUGUGGAGGAACACCAGUGGCGAAGGCGACUCUCUGGUCUGUAACUGACGCUGAGGAGCGAAAGCGUGGGGAGCGAACAGGAUUAGAUACCCCUGUAGUCCCUGUCUCUUAUAC